rnacentral:rRNA from 1 species
CACGUAGGCACCAAGCGUUGUCCGGAUUUAUUGGGCGUAAAGAGCUCGUAGGCGGUUCGGUAAGUCGGGUGUGAAAACUCUGGGCUCAACCCAGAGCCGCCACCCGAUACUGCUGUGACUUGAGUUCGGUAGGGGAGCGGGGAAUUCCUGGUGUAGCGGUGAAAUGCGCAGAUAUCAGGAAGAACACCCGUGGCGAAGGCGGCUCUCUGGGACGGUACUGACGCUGAGACGCGAAAGCGUGGGGAGCGAACAGG